GUGCCAGCCGCCGCGGUAAAACGUAGGACGCAAGCGUUAUCCGGAGUUACUGGGCGUAAAGCGCGGGCAGGCGGUCACGCAAGUUCGAUGUGAAAUCUCUCAGCUCAACUGGGAGCAGCCAUUGAAAACUACGUGACUAGAGGACAGCAGAGGUAAGCGGAAUUCCGGGUGGAGUGGUGAAAUGCGUAGAGAUCCGGAGGAACACCAGAGGCGAAGGCGGCUUACUGGGCUGACCCUGACGCUGAGCCGCGAAAGCCAGGGGAGCGAACGGGAUUAGAAACCCCCGUAGUCC
rnacentral:rRNA from 1 species